UACGUAGGGAGCAAGCGUUGUCCGGAAUUACUGGGCGUAAAGGGUGCGUAGGCGGCCUGGUAAGUCAGAUGUGAAAUACCCGUGCUUAACAUGGGGGGUGCAUCUGAUACUGUCAGGCUUGAGUGCAGGAGAGGAAAGCGGAAUUCCUAGUGUAGCGGUGAAAUGCAUAGAUAUUAGGAGGAACACCAGUGGCGAAGGCGGCUUUCUGGACUGUAACUGACGCUGAGGCACGAAAGCGUGGGGAGCAAACAGG
rnacentral:rRNA from 1 species